GCUAGCGUUGCUCGGAAUCACUGGGCGUAAAGCGCACGUAGGCGGCUUUUUAAGUCAGGGGUGAAAUCCUGGAGCUCAACUCCAGAACUGCCUUUGAUACUGAGAAGCUUGAGUCCGGGAGAGGUGAGUGGAACUGCGAGUGUAGAGGUGAAAUUCGUAGAUAUUCGCAAGAACACCAGUGGCGAAGGCGGCUCACUGGCCCGGUACUGACGCUGAGGUGCGAAAGCCAGGGGAGCAAACGGG
rnacentral:rRNA from 1 species